GAUGAACGCUAGCUACAGGCUUAACACAUGCAAGUCGAGGGGCAUCAGGAAGAAAGCUUGCUUUCUUUGCUGGCGACCGGCGCACGGGUGAGUAACACGUAUCCAACCUGCCCUUUACUCGGGGAUAGCCUUUCGAAAGAAAGAUUAAUACCCGAUAGUAUAAUGAUUCCGCAUGGUUUCAUUAUUAAAGGAUUCCGGUAAAGGAUGGGGAUGCGUUCCAUUAGGUUGUUGGUGAGGUAACGGCUCACCAAGCCUUCGAUGGAUAGGGGUUCUGAGAGGAAGGUCCCCCACAUUGGAACUGAGACACGGUCCAAACUCCUACGGGAGGCAGCAGUGAGGAAUAUUGGUCAAUGGUCGGCAGACUGAACCAGCCAAGUCGCGUGAGGGAAGACGGCCCUACGGAUUGUAAACUUCUUUUAUAAGGGUAAUAAACCCUCCCACGUGUGGGAGCUUGUAUGUACCUUAUGAAUAAGCAUCGGCUAACUCCGUG
rnacentral:rRNA from 1 species